rnacentral:rRNA from 1 species
CCUACGGGAGGCAGCAGUGAGGAAUAUUGGUCAAUGGACGAGAGUCUGAACCAGCCAAGUAGCGUGAAGGAUGACUGCCCUAUGGGUUGUAAACUUCUUUUAUAUGGGAAUAAACUGUUCCACGUGUGGGAUUUUGUAUGUACCCUAUGAAUAAGGAUCGGCUAACUCCGUGCCAGCAGCCGCGGUAAUACGGAGGAUCCGAGCGUUAUCCGGAUUUAUUGGGUUUAAAGGGAGCGUAGGUGGAUUGUUAAGUCAGUUGUGAAAGUUUGCGGCUCAACCGUAAAAUUGCAGUUGAAACUGGCAGUCUUGAGUACAGUAGAGGUGGGCGGAAUUCGUGGUGUAGCGGUGAAAUGCUUAGAUAUCACGAAGAACUCCGAUUGCGAAGGCAGUUCACUGGACUGCAACUGACACUGAGGCUCGAAAGUGUGGGUAUCAAACAGGAUUAGAUACCCUUGUAGUC